CGGUUGCGACCGUGUCGGCAUGUGAGUUGUGGUGGAUGUGUACGCUUUUGGCCAGCUCCCUGCUUUUGCAGCUAACUGCCCAAUUCUGCCAUCAUGUACAUUCCCGUGUGUUGGUGUCUUUGAGCUCUUUGGUGUCAUUUAUCGUUGCUUGUGCUGAAAACCAUUAUUAUGUUGGUACCACUUUCAUUGAUGCGCGUUUAUUGUCCCCCUCCUGCCUUUUGGCUUGGAUGGGUGGCAUGGGAAGCUGGUCCAUCAUCGGCCAUGGUUAACAACAGCCUUCUUAGGCUGUUUGGCAAUCGGUCAUUUAGGAUCGCUUCGGUUGCAAGGAUUCGGUGCAUUUUUGUGGGUAUGCGGUAUAUGACCAUUUGUCGGUUGUCGCUUAGUUUUCUAUGGCCGUUGCUAUGUGAAUGACAUCACGUGCGCGUUUUUAUGUCUUCUUCCUUUCUUUAGAGGGGAAGAAUGCUAUGGCGGUAUGUGGUGUUGU
rnacentral:misc_RNA from 1 species